AUUGAACGCUGGCGGCAGGCCUUACACAUGCAAGUCGAACGAGCGGCGGACGGGUGAGUAAUGCAUCGGAACCUGCCCGGUAGCGGGGGAUAACGACCGGAAAGGGGCGCUAAUACCGCAUACCAUCGGAGCGGCCAAUACUGGAUUAGCUUGUAGGUGAGGUAACGGCUCACCUAGGCGACGAUCCAUAGCUGGUCUGAGAGGAGGACCAGCCACACUGGAACUGAGACACGGUCCAGACUCCUACGGGAGGCAGCAGUGGGGAAUAUUGCACAAUGGGCGCAAGCCUGAUGCAGCCAUGCCGCUGGUAUGAAGAAGGCCUUCGGGUUGUAAAGUACUUUCAGCGGGGAGGCGUUACCCGCAGAAGAAGCACCGGCUAACUCCGUGCCAGCCGCCGCGGUAAUAC
rnacentral:rRNA from 1 species